rnacentral:rRNA from 1 species
CAGCCGCCACGGUAAAACAGAGGGUGCGAGCGUUAAUCGGAUUUACUGGGCGUAAAGCGUGCGUAGGCGGCUUCUUAAGUCGGAUGUGAAAUCCCUGAGCUUAACUUAGGAAUUGCAUUCGAUACUGGGAAGCUAGAGUAUGGGAGAGGAUGGUAGAAUUCCAGGUGUAGCGGUGAAAUGCGUAGAGAUCCGGAGGAAUACCGAUGGCGAAGGCAGCCAUCUGGCCUAAUACUGACGCUGAGGUACGAAAGCAUGGGGAGCAAACAGGAUUAGAUACCCCCGUAGUCCCUGUCUCUUAUAC